CCUUCCUCCUCUCCUUCCUCAGGAGAAAGGCCUCUCUCUCCGUGUUCACAGCGGACCUUGAUUUAAAUGUCCAUACAAUUAAGGCACGCGGUGAAUGCCAAGAAUGGGGCUGGCUGAGCACC
rnacentral:miRNA from 1 species